CAGCUCUCCGAGUAGUGUGGACGUUUAUUGGGCCUAAAGCAUCCGUAGCUUGCUAGAUAAGUCCUCUGUUAAAUCCACCGAUUCAAUCGUUGGAUUGCGGGGGAUACUGUUUGGCUAGGGGGCGGGAGAGGUCGACGGUAUUUCCGGGGUAGGGGUGAAAUCCUAUAAUCCCGGGAGGACCACCAGUGGCGAAGGCUGUCGACUAGAACGCGCCCGACGGUGAGGGAUGAAAGCUGGGGGAGCGAACCGGAUUAGAGACCCGAGUAGUCC
rnacentral:rRNA from 1 species